CGGGGCGUAGCGCAGUUGGUAGCGUACCUGUCUUGGGAACAGGGGGUCGCUGGUUCAAACCCAGUCGCCCCGA
rnacentral:tRNA from 1 species